rnacentral:rRNA from 1 species
UACGUAGGGGGCAAGCGUUGUCCGGAUUUAUUGGGCGUAAAGAGCUCGUAGGCGGUUGGGCAAGUCACGUGUGAAAUCUCCACGCUCAACGUGGAGGCGCCACGUGAGACUGCCCUGACUCGAGUCCGGUAGGGGAGCGUGGAAUUCCUGGUGUAGCGGUGAAAUGCGCAGAUAUCAGGAAGAACACCUAUGGCGAAGGCAGCUCUCUGGGACGGUACUGACGCUGAGACGCGAAAGCGUGGGGAGCGAACAGG